UAUAUACACUGGAUAUACAAGAAGGGGCCGUCUCUUGUCACACAUUAUGUCAAGGAACUUACAAAUGUACCAGCCUGAAACUGGAACAAGUAAGAUCCAGUUCCACGAUGAACUCCCUAUGACCCAAACUUUCAUUAUUAUAUUAAAGUCCCCAUCUCCACAAGGAGACUGGCUGCCAUUUCUUGAACAGAUGACAUGUGAGGUGACAUGUGAAGGGUCAUGAUGGAGCUGACGUGCUGGUUCUUCCUGGUCAUGCUCUGAGACACUGAGCAAACCUCUCCCCCCCCUCCUCAAAAAGGGAAGCCUAAUUGUCAGGACAACAUGUUUUGUGGAUCUACCCCCAGUGCUCACCAUACUUGAUCCUAGAGGACAUCUUGUGAUGAGGAUCAAAAUCUAUAGUAAUAAAUCUGCUAAUAUAAUGGCAAGAAGAGAAUAAAUUAAU